AAAGGGAGACCUAAUUCAGGUAGGAGACGAAAAAAAAGUAGUCCCUACCAAGAAUCAAUCCCAAAAGGUCGGAACGAGGCAUGUGGCUUUCAAACUAGGUUCUGGGUUCAUAAAAGACCUGAAUCAGGAACAAGGGCUAUUAGCUCAGGUGGUUAGAGCGCACCCCUGAUAAGGGUGAGGUCCCUGGUUCGAGUCCAGGAUGGCCCACCUGCACAGGUGGCAAAAACAAGAGAAGCGAGGAAUCAGCACCUUAUCUUAUUUAUAUAGUAAGAGAGAAUGCUGGCUCUGAGUAAAGAGUCCAGAGGAACCUUGAAAACUGCAUAGAGCUAGGUGAAAAAGCCAAAAAAGAAGACCGCAAG
rnacentral:tRNA from 1 species